rnacentral:rRNA from 1 species
UCGGGAAUCUUGCACAAUGGGCGAAAGCCUGAUGCAGCAACACCGUGUGGGUGACGAAGGUCUUCGGAUCGUAAAGCCCUGUUGUUGGGGACGAAGGGCGAAGGGUUAAUAGCCCCUAGCCUGACGGUACCCUUCGAGGAAGCCCCGGCUAACUACGUGCCAGCAGCCGCGGUAAUACGUAGGGGGCGAGCGUUGUCCGGAAUUAUUGGGCGUAAAGAGCGUGUAGGCGGCCUGGUAAGUCUGUCGUGAAAUGCUGGGGCUCAACCCUGGACGUGCGAUGGAUACUGCUAGGCUAGAGGAUGGUAGAGGCGAGUGGAAUUCCCGGUGUAGCGGUGAAAUGCGCAGAUAUCGGGAGGAACACCAGUAGCGAAGGCGGCUCGCUGGGCCAUUCCUGACGCUGAGACGCGAAAGCGUGGGGAGCAAACAGGAUUAGAUACCCCCGUAGUCC